rnacentral:rRNA from 1 species
AUGCCAGAGUGCAAUCGUUGCUCGACACCUACUCCACGCCGACUGGGUCAUCUCGUUCGAAAUAACUUAGCUUGCUUCGUCACACGAACAAGACCAAAUCAUUCUGUGCUUCGUGACAGUUUCCACCAAAUCGAAUCGAGAGGACCGCAAGAGGGGCCGAUGGAGCCCUGCGAGAUCGCGCGCCUGCCGGAGGAGCUGCUGUCGGUGGCGCUCUCCCGCACGUCGCCGCGCGACGCUUGCCGCGCUGCGGUGGUCUCCCCGGCCUUCCGUGCCGCGGCCGAUUCCGACACCGUCUGGUCCUGCUUCCUGCCACCGCUGGACGAACUCCCGCCGCUCACCGACGGAGAGCCUUGCAGGAAGAAAGACCUGUUCCUCCGCCUCUCCGGCAGACACGUCCUCCUCCCAGGCGGACUCAUGAGCAUGUGGCUGGACAGGGAGACCGGCGCCAAGUGCUACAUGGUGUCGGCGAGGGCGCUGUCCAUCGCGUGGCGCGACACUCCACGCUACUGGAACUGGGUCCCUCUCGCAGAUUCGAGGUUCUCCGAGACUGCUGUACUCAGGUUAGUUUGCUGGUUGGAUAUCCCUGGCAAGAUAGAUAGCAAGAUACUCUCCAAGGGGUCAGUCUAUGCCGCACACAUCGUGUACAAGUUGGCCGACAGUUCUUAUGGGCUGGACUCGCCGAUCCAAGAGGCAUCAAUUAGAGUUGGAGGCACCAACCUGACCCGCAAGGUCUGCCUCCAACCUAACCCGCAAAGAAGCAUGAGCCAAAACCGCCGUGCAGAGGACGUAGUGCUCCCUCGGCAAAGGGGCGAUGGCUGGAUGGAGCUGGAGCUGGGCGACUUCACCUGCGACGGGGAUGAAGAUGGUGAUGUGUCCUUUGGCGUUUCGGAGACCAAGGCUUUGAACGGGAAGAGCGGCCUGGUCGUGCAGGGCAUCGAGAUCAGGCAUAAGAAAUCAGGCUAA